GGUAAAGGACAAAUGGCUCCUUUCUACACACCCUCCAGAAGGAGGCAGAGGUAGGCUGUCUAGUCCUGAGUCCAGUUCUCUGCCAAAGGACCUGUAGAGUACUUCAAGCUCCCCACUCACUUCUUCCUGCGUGCCUACAUUGCCAGCUGGCUGCUGUUAUGGCUUGCAGGAAUGAUUUAUCUGGUAAAAUAAAGGAAAGUUUUCAUGUCUCCUGCUCUGGAUUAAGGUAGGUUUCUGGAGCCUGCUUUCUCCUCUGUAGAGGCCACAACUCCCUAAGGUGAGUCUUAUACAGGGAUGCUUGUCACUAUGUGGUGUAGAAAGGGAGACAAGCUGCUAACACGCAGAUCCACUCGAUCCUAGAGCUGCUUUUAGCCACAGUGGGAAAGGAGUCUGUCUCCUGAAUGCAAGCAGUUGCCUUGUUGAUUUGUUCCUAUAGGGUUUCGAGAAGUCUGUCCCUAAUCCAACAGAGCUGUGUUUGUGCAAACUGUUUUAACUGCACUAUCCAGCUCUUCUGUACUUAAAUACUCCAUCAGGCUGGCUGUUCAGUAUGUACUUCUAGUGACCUUCACUUUAAUUGUCUAACUGCCUGCAGUUCAUUUGGAUGAUUCCAAUAGGGCCCGCUAGCUUUAAUUAAAAAUGGUUUCCUUCCAACAGUAUUAAGUUAAUUGUUCUCACUUCUAUUCAAAAGUAAAGGAAGUAUUUAGAUGCAUACUGUGGUAUCCUGAAACACUGCUGUGGAGAGCUGAGCUACUUCACAUGUCACUGCCUUGGGGGACUUGGGGCAGUUGGUCCCUGUGCCCACAAGUCCUUGCCACCUGAUCAGAGCUCAGGGAUGUGUCUCGUCCGCUACCCAGAGGGGGAAUAGAGAAACAGGGAAGGGCCAGGACCUACCUUGUUGUCUUGGGGUGAUUAUAUGAUAAUACUGUAUUCCCCUAUUGUCUGUUUAUUGCCCAGAAAUGGGUCCUGCAGCUUUAAGCUGGGUCCAGGAGAGGGGGGAGAGAAACCAGGUGAAUUCUUCAGUUCAAGGACUCACACACACUCCCCCGCGUUCUCAACCACUACAGAGCUGGGGGAGCACCUGCUUGCUUUUAGCCAGCCUGUUAUCUGAGGCAAGGAAUUUUCCCAUAUCAGCAUACCGAAAUCUCUUGGAACUUCUUCCUCUUCUGGAGCUGUUGGGCCUAGCUGUGAUCCGAGAACCACAUCAUCGGACCCCGUGGACUGGCAGGGAGGUUGUGGGGACGCCGCAUCCCGGCCUCAGGCCUCGGGAGGGGCCGAGCCAGCUACAGAGGGAGCUCUGAAUCCACCAGCUUUCUCCCCAGAGAGGAGGUUUAUCAUCUGACCUUACUCAUUUUUUCUGUGCCCUGCCAGCACUCUGCUUGUUAAAUAAAUAGGCUUUUUCACUUUCAUCCAAGAAAUUCCUUUCAUAUUGGUGGGGGAGGGAGUGCUGAAACCUCCCUUCUGUGGAGGAGACGUCCCCUCCAGGGCAUUUCCCCCUAAAUUUGUCUCAAACCAAGACACUUGUGUCACCCAGAGGUGCAGUGGCAGAGCUUGAAUGCAUCACCCUCUUCCUGAGGGUUUGGCAUUGUGGCUUAGGCCAGCUUUGGUAUGGUGGGGCAUUCAGUUUUGGAGAGAGCUGUUGGAGGAGGUGCUGGUAAGAAGCUCAGGGGGGACUCCCCAUGCCUUUGAUUGCAUUUGUACUUUAAACUGAAGGUCUCACUGGGUCUGUCCUGUCUGCCUUUCAAGGGUUUGUGGGAUUGCAUCCUUGAUGGUGAAUUUCACAGUGUUUGGGGUUAAAUGGGACCACUGGAGCUAUGCAACCUCCUCACUCAUGUAAGGUCACCUAGACCUGGUUGCACAGCUGCCUUUUGAAUAUCCCCAAGGCUGGAGACUCCACAACCUCUGCCAAGGCUUGGUCACUCCUAAGUGCUUGCUGUGUUCAAACAUAAUCUCCUGUGUUUCAGUUUGUGACCACUGCCUCUUGUGCUUACACUGGAUGCCACUGAGAAGUGUUUGGCACUGGCUUCUUUACACCCCAUCUGUCCUUGGAAAUCUCCACCACCUGUCUGGACAAGUUCCUAAUCCUGGCUAGACCCACCCUGAGCUGCAGAAGAGAAGCAUGACACAAUCAAGAUGAAACCAAACCUCCUUGUCUUGACCCUGAAAUGUACAUCCCCUGGUUGUAAGUACACUUGGACACGUCCAAAGAGGGAAAUGCGAUGGCACGAAGGAGCACCACCCACCUUCUGACAAUUGCUUGGAACAGGUUCUCCAGAGCUGCCUCAUGAUUAGUAAACAGCAGACAUAUGUUGUGCUCACCACACAACCUUAAGCUUGUAAGUGUUGGCAGCUUCUGCUCUCAUUCCUUUGGCACUGCUUUGAUCCUGAUGUCUGCAGCACUGAGUCAUGCCACAAAGUCUGGAGCAAACCCCAAUGUUAGUUUUUUGUGCACAA